UACGUAGGUGGCAAGCGUUGUCCGGAUUUACUGGGCGUAAAGGGAGCGUAGGCGGAUACUUAAGUGGGAUGUGAAAUACCUGGGCUUAACUCGGGUGCUGCAUUCCAAACUGGGUGUCUAGAGUGUUGGAGAGGAAAGUGGAAUUCCUAGUGUAGCGGUGAAAUGCGUAGAGAUUAGGAAGAACACCAGUGGCGAAGGCGACUUUCUGGACAAUAACUGACGCUGAGGCUCGAAAGCGUGGGGAGCAAACAGG
rnacentral:rRNA from 1 species